UUCAACGUGAGAGUUUGAUCCUGGCUCAGAGCGAACGCUGGCGGCAGGCUUAACACAUGCAAGUCGAGCGGGCCCUUCGGGGUCAGCGGCGGACGGGUGAGUAACGCGUGGGAACGUGCCUUCUGGUUCGGAAUAACCCUGGGAAACUAGGGCUAAUACCGGAUACGCCCUUAUGGGGAAAGGUUUACUGCCGGAAGAUCGGCC
rnacentral:rRNA from 1 species